UACGAAGGGGGCUAGCGUUGCUCGGAAUUACUGGGCGUAAAGCGCACGUAGGCGGCUUUCUAAGUCGGGGGUGAAAUCCUGGAGCUCAACUCCAGAACUGCCUUCGAUACUGGAAAGCUCGAGUCCGGGAGAGGUGAGUGGAACUGCGAGUGUAGAGGUGAAAUUCGUAGAUUAUUCGCAAGAACACCAGUGGCGAAGGCGGCUCACUGGCCCGGUACUGACGCUGAGGUGCGAAAGCCAGGGGAGCAAAGCGGG
rnacentral:rRNA from 1 species